GGCUCUGUGAUUACUUUGCCUUAUCGGCAGUAUACGCUAUUCUGAAAACAGAGUAUGAAGAGGAUAAUUUAUACUAAAUGAGAGCC
rfam:Eutrema salsugineum unplaced genomic scaffold scaffold_2, whole genome shotgun sequence.